rnacentral:rRNA from 1 species
AUUGAACGCUGGCGGCAGGCCUAACACAUGCAAGUCGAGCGAGCGGCGGACGGGUGAGUAAUGUAUGGGGACUGCCCGAUAGAGGGGGAUAACUAAUGGAAACGGUGGAGAAUACCGCAGACUGUCGGAUAACCCAUAUGGGAUUAGCUAGUAGGUAAGGGAAUGGCUUACCUAGGCGACGAUCCCUAGCUGGUCUGAGAGGAUGAUCAGCCACACUGGGACUGAGACACGGCCCAGACUCCUACGGAGGCAGCAGUGGGGAAUAUUGCACAAUGGGCGCAAGCCUGAUGCAGCCAUGCCGCGUGUAUGAAGAAGGCCCUAGGGUUGUAAAGUACUUUCAGUCGGGAGGCGUUACCGGCAGAAGAAGCACCGGCUAACUCCGUGCCAGCAGCCGCGGUAAUAC